UCUGAGUGUAGCGCAGCUUGGCUAGCGCACUUGCAUGGGGUGCAAGGGGUCGGAGGUUCAAAUCCUCUCACUCAGAU
rnacentral:tRNA from 1 species